UGUACAAAAUUAUUUACAUGUUAAUCAGGAUAUCAACAAGAUUUCAAAAGUUUUCCAUCGAAUAAAGACGAGUGACCCAAAAGCAAAACAUUCGAGGUCUGAAAGCAUCUAUCUUUAACCCUACCAAAAUCAUCUUUCAUCCCUAUGGAACUCCUCCUGUUUCUUUCUUUUUACACCACCAAAAAUAUAGCAAGGAAGAUGAGAUUCACAUAAUCCUUCCCACUGCUAAUACCCUUUGAGAUCCAAAUCUUAUCUCUAACUGAACCAACCAUCACUCAACUAUUCUCUAGUAAUUUGUAUGCCAUGAUUCAUAACUUAUAUGUCAGCAGACACUAAAGUAAGAUGUUCCUCCCUCUGGUAUAGAAAACAACCAUUCACCAUAAGUUUCCCUUCUUUUUAACU
rnacentral:lncRNA from 1 species